rnacentral:rRNA from 1 species
CCCGCUGAACUUAAGCAUAUCAUUAUGUGGAGGAAAAGAAACCAACAGGGAUUCCCUAAGUAAGGGCGACUGAACAGGGAACAGCUCAAACUUGAAAUCGGCCUGGGUAACACCCUUGUCCGAAUUGUAGUUUUGCGAAUGGAUUCUGGUAGGGCCCUGGUCUAAGUACCCUGGAACGGGAUGCCAUAGAAGGUAACAGCCCUGUAAGAUUGGUGUCCCUACCUGUAUGUUUCCAUUUCAAGGAGUCAGGCUAUUUGAGAGCAUAGCCUAAAGUGGGUGGUAAGCUCCAUCCAAAGCUAAAUAUCAGUGGGAGACCGAUAGCGAACAAGUACCGCGAGGGAAAGAUGAAAAAUACUCUGAAAAGAGAGUUAAAAGUAUUUGAAACCAUUGACAUUGAAGCUAAUAUGCAACCUUUUCUAUGGUGUUUUAAUCAGCUGGCUGAUCUAACUCUGACCAGUUGUGUGUCCCUGUUAUUUUUUAAUGGGGCCAUUGCUGUUUGGGGUACAGCCAGUGCACUUAUUAUGCUAUGGAAGCAACAUAUUUAUGUGAUCGAUUAGGGCAGUCACAGAUGGUAAUCAGCUUGCUGGUGAAUACUGUGGCCCAACCUUGACUGUAUCAUGUAAAUACUCAGGUCAGGGACCUUAUCACAUCUCUGCAAGGGGUAUUAUAUCUGGUGGAAGGUUUACAUUGCUUUGAAAGAGGUGGUGUAGGUCCAAACCAGGUGUAAUACUCACUAUGGAUGGGAUAUUUGUUGUAAUAGGGGGGCAUAUUUGUCCCGUCUUGAAACACGG